GCUCUCGGGCCGGAGCGCGGCAUGGCCGCGUCCAAAGCCCCGCUGCUCUUUUUUUCCCUACCGCCAACGCGGUCUCUGCUGAGAACGUGAAAGACGGGAAAAAGUCAGGUCUGGAACAAAGCCUUUCCAGUUGCGAGUGUAACUUAAUGGUUUCGUUUACUUGGAAGAGCCGUGGCUUACGAAUUGAUUGCAGUUUCAUGCGGGAAUAAGCAUCCCCACGUGCUGGGCACGGCACUCCCAUACGCUGAGCAGACCCCCGGCCCUGCGCUCACUGCCCUCCCCUCCGGCUCAGGCCGGUGGCAGACUGAAGCAGCCAUCACCAAUCCCUCCUCUUUCUCUCCAAGCGACAUCUGUCAAAUUAUCUGAGAUCCUCACCGCCCACAAGAAUACAGCAUCACUGCAUGCAUCUUAGCAAUUCGGCAAUAACCUGAAAUAAAAAAAUCAGUUGGUUUACUCCCUAAGUAAAUCUGGCCCAGAACAGCUCUACAUGUGUUUGGCAUGGAGAAAUGAUCUCUAACCAGGACCACCUUGCCUUUAAGGACUUAUCACAGAAAAGACAACUGAGGCUUUACUAAGCAAAAUAUGACAGGAAUUGGCUAGUACUUUGACAUGAAGUGAGGCAGUGCGGUAUUGAUAUUGAGGAGCUGCUACAGCUCCUAAACUUCCUGCAAGACUAAAACCAAGCCAUGCCCACAAUCCACACCAGAGCAGAAGCGUGCCUUGUUGCCCGAGGAACCAUGGCUGAUGGUGGGUUGGUACCAUCCCAAGGAGAAACAGUAUGUUCAGAAACUUGGUGGCCCAUGCGUAUCCACUUCAGACAAACCAGAGCCCUGCUACCUUUAGAAAAACCUACAGAAACACGUCCUUCCUGCCCACAGGUCAUUGCAGCACUGCUGUGGGAUUCCCAGUUCAAUGGGGCACUACUUUUCAUGAUGCAGGAAACAGUUAAUGACAAGGAAGAUGCCAUUCAUUACUUAGGUUUUCAUUGACAACAUUUCUUAAUGUGUCAGAGCUAGUGCUGACUUUAAGGUGUCCUUUUAUUUGUAAAGCCACAUUGCUUUGGUGCUAACAUUUAAAUCAUAGGAUCACAGAAUGCCUUAGUCGGGUACCUUUUAGAAUUCUCCAGACACAUUCUAAAAGAUUCAUUCUGUAGCAUCAUAAAUGUGCACAAUGCUCUUCAGUCACAAUCAAACGUCACCUGGUGGGCAAAUGGGUGACCCCUCACAGCACUGAGCAGUGGGCUCUGCACACACCCCAAACGUUAAAACUGAAAUGUAGCCCUAAUAAUACCAAAUAAUUAUUACUCGUUAUUAAUUUUGUUAAAAAUAAUACAAAUAUUUUUUUUAUUAGAUCUUUUUCUUUGCCUUCAGUUUUUUCAGGAGCGGAAUAGUCUGCUAUUACUGUUUGCUGGGUACACAGCACCUGUGACAUCAGGCGUGACUCAUGGUGGGAGAAAUGGGGAAAGCGCCACUCAGUAGGAUUGCACUGGAUAUAAACAGAGAUGGUGCUGCGUAUCUGCAUACAAGGGAAGGGAGUGAAAUGCUUGUGUGCUAUUUCUCCCAUGAAAAGCUGUGUGCACUGUGGACCCUCCCCAUGCUACACUGAUGCUCUCCCACCACCAGAGCUGCAGUGCUGACUAGAAUCUUCCAGUCUGCGUCCUGGAGACUCAAAAUGCAGCUUUGGCGUGAGUACAAGCUUUAGCUCUGCUGAACUGCUACUUCACUCUGUGAUGACACUGUGCUGGGAACAGAGGAGCUGCUUUGCUUGAUCAGAUCUGACACCCACCUAGUCCAGUGUCCUCUCCUUGCUUAUGUCCACAAAAGUCAUAUUUCAUGCACAUCCUCCCUC